rnacentral:lncRNA from 1 species
AAAUAUGUUUAUGUAUAUUCAAAAUAGACAUGUUUACAUAUAUUUAAUUUUGAAUUUAAUUGUCCACUUUUUAUGGUAAAAGAUUAUUAUAUUUCCAUAAAUAUAGAUUGUUUUUGUUUUUUGUUUUUUUUUUUUUCAAUUAGGAGGUGUUUGGCUUCAAGUUGUCCUUCCCAAUAAUAGUAUAGAUAAUAUAUUUUGACUUACUUGUUGGAAUUUUUUAAUCUAUUUUGAAAGUAUUAGUUUCACAACUAAUUUAUAUAAUCUCUUAAUCAAGUUUUUGAUAUUUACAAUUCUUUUUAUUAUUAAUAAGAAAUUGUCCUCUUACCAAAAAAAA